GACGAACGCUGGCGGCGUGCUUAACACAUGCAAGUCGAACGGAAAGGCCUGCUUUCCCUUGUGGAUUGCGGGUACUCGAGUGGCGAACGGGUGAGUAACACGUGAGUGAUCUGCCCCCAACUUGGGUAUAAGCCUGGGAAACUGGGUCUAAUUCCCGAUAGGACUGCAGGGUGGUGCCUGUGGUGGAAAACGAUUUUCUAGUGGUUGGGGAUGAGCUCGCGGCCUAUCAGCUUGUUGGUGGGGUAAUGGCCUACCAAGGCGGCGACGGGUAGCCGGCCUGAGAGGGUGGACGGCCACAUUGGGACUGAGAUACGGCCCAGACUCCAACGGGAGGCAGCAGUGGGGAAUAUUGCACAAUAGGCGGAAGCCUGAUGCAGCGACGCCGCGUGGGGGAUGUCGGCCUUCGGGUUGUAAACUCCUUUCGACCGCGAGGAAGCCACCUGGUUGGAAGGGUGGUGACGGUAGUGGUAGAAGAAGCACCGGCUAACUACGUG
rnacentral:rRNA from 1 species